rnacentral:rRNA from 1 species
GAUGAACGCUGGCGGCGUGCUUAACACAUGCAAGUCGAACGGAAAGGCCCUGCUUGCAGGGUACUCGAGUGGCGAACGGGUGAGUAACACGUGGGUGAUCUGCCCUGUACUUUGGGAUAAGCCUGGGAAACUGGGUCUAAUACCGAAUAUGACAAUUGUUUGGAUGCGAUUGUGGAAAGCUUUUGCGGUAUGGGAUGAGCUCGCGGCCUAUCAGCUUGUUGGUGGGGUAAUGGCCUACCAAGGCGUCGACGGGUAGCCGGCCUGAGAGGGUGUACGGCCACAUUGGGACUGAGAUACGGCGCAGACUCCUACGGGGGGCAGCAGUGGGGAAUAUUGCACAAUGGGCGCAAGCCUGAUGCAGCGACGCCGCGUGGGGGAUGACGGCCUUCGGGUUGUAAACUCCUUUCGCAACCGACGAAGCCUUUUGGUGACGGUAGGUGGAGAAGAAGCACCGGCUAACUACGUG